AUUACUCCUACGGGAGGCAGCAGUGGGGAAUCUUGCGCAAUGGGCGAAAGCCUGACGCAGCAACGCCGCGUGCGGGAAGAAGGCCUUCGGGUUGUAAACCGCUUUCAGCAGGGACGAAAAUGACGGUACCUGCAGAAGAAGCCCCGGCUAACUACGUGCCAGCAGCCGCGGUAAUAAU
rnacentral:rRNA from 1 species